rnacentral:rRNA from 1 species
UAGGUUGAGAAGGCAGUGACCGUAGCGGUGGAGAAGGAUGAGGUAGCAAACACUGUUUUUAUAUAAAUAUAUAUUAAUUGGGGUAGCCCACAAAAUAUUGGGACAUAUAAAAGAUACUCGCAGAGUAUCUGUUGACAUUAUAGUUGCGCAGGAACUUUGUUGACUCUAGAGAACCUCGGGCAAAUCGGACAUCCCCGUGGCGGCGACUUUGCAUGCGAAUGUUAUCCAUAUCAACUUUCAAUGCCAGUUUCUGCGCUUACCGUGGUGACCACAGUAACAUGGAAUCAGGGUUCCAUUCCGUACAGAGACCCUGAGAAACGGCUACCACAUGCAAGGAAGGCAGCAGGCGUCCAAAUGACCCACUCCCGACACGAGAAGGUAGUGACGACAAAUAACAAUACAGGACUCUUUAGAGGCCCUGUAAUUGUAAUGAGUCCACUUGAAAUCCUUUAACUCUGAUCAAUUGGAGGGAAGUCUGGUGCAGAGCCACUGACUCGUGCGUGCUGCAGCUGAAACUCCACU